rnacentral:lncRNA from 1 species
AAGGGUUUGUUGAACAUUAUGGCUUCAGAGUGGGGAAUUGAUGCUAUUUGAGGUUAAAUAGAGGUAAGGGAGAUGAAGGUGUAAUAGUUCUGAGAGGGAUGGGGUAAGAGGUUAUGGGUUUUGAUGGGUUUGGUUCAGAAGGGAUUGGUAUAAAAGUUGUUAGUUUAGAUGAUGAAGGGAGUGGGGUUGUUGCUUGUUGAGAUUUAGAUUUUGCUUUGGGAGCUAUAUUGUGUGUGCAAGGUGAGGUGGAGGAUGUUGUAACAUUA